GGCCAGGUAGCUCAGUCGGUAGAGCAGAGGACUGAAAAUCCUUGUGUCGCUGGUUCGAUUCCAGUCCUGGCCA
rnacentral:tRNA from 1 species